GACAGAGGGUGCAAACGUUGUUCGGAAUUACUGGGCGUAAAGCGCGUGUAGGCGGCUAAGUAAGUCGGGCGUGAAAUCCCACGGCUCAACCGUGGAAGUGCACUCGAAACUGCAUAGCUAGAGUCCUGGAGAGGAAGGUGGAAUGCUUGGUGUAGAGGUGAAAUUCGUAGAUAUUAGGAAGAACACCGGUGGCGAAGGCGGCCCACUGGAUCGGUACUGACGCUGAGGUGCGAAAGCGUGGGGAGCGAACAGG
rnacentral:rRNA from 1 species